rnacentral:rRNA from 1 species
GACCCGUCUUGAAACACGGACCAAGGAGUUUAACAUGUACGCAAGUCAUUGGGUGGUAAACCCAAAGGCGCAAUGAAAGUGAAGGUUGGCUCUGUCAACCGAGGUAGGAUCCGCUAAGCGGCGCACUACCGUCCCAUCGCAUCUGCUCGUCAGAGCGGUGGAGAAAGAGCGUACACGUUGGGACCCGAAAGAUGGUGAACUANGCCUGAGCAGGAUGAAGCCAGACGAAAGUCAGGUGGAGGUCCGAAGCAGUUCUGACGUGCAAAUCGAUCGUCAGACUUGAGUAUAGGGGCGAAAGACUAAUCGAACCAUCUAGUAGCUGGUUCCUUCCGA